rnacentral:lncRNA from 1 species
CAACAAUGUGGUCUUGGUGAGUUUACAAUAAUGUUAUAAUAAUCGGAGCGCAAUGCUGAAGUAGGCCUAGAUCAUACUGUACGUGUUGCUGUAAGACUGAACUGUGAAUUCCUUGACUGUGACUUUAGUGACAACAUUUGACGCACCAAAAAGUAGCACCACAACGCCAUGAAUCCCAUUCUUCCAUCCUCUUCCCUUGACAGUUACUCUUGAUGACCCCGGCUCCACCGGAACCGGGAUUUUUUUUUUUAGGAAGAGCUCGAUCGAACCGCAAGGCGGAGGAGGAUUUGUGACAGCGCGCAAGGACACGCCUUCUCAUUAAACCGGCAGUUUGUGCGGCUCCACCUUGCCGUCACUGCCGUGUCGUCAGUAGCGAAACGAACCGCACCGCUGCCUCUUCUACAGUAGUUGUUAUACUCCCCUCUACUUAAUUAACCUUGUACGUAUUAUUUUGUCCCCGACGGUUGUGGUGUUCUGCGUCAAAAAUAGCAACAGAGAUGUAAAAGCAAGUUACACUACCGCAUCUUCCUCGUCUUUUGAUAUGCAGCUACUGACAUAACCAGGAGCGCUGGUGACAGGGGAAGAUGGACAUCCAGAGUGGCAUACAGAUGGCAAUGGAGACUCUCCCCUCCUUCCCCCAACAGUCGGGUACCCAUCAGCAGAGCGAGCCAGAGGACGGCCAGACAGAGGGGAGUGCCAGGCUUACCGCUGACAAUCACAGCAAGGACACCCAGCCAGCUGCUGGCCACCAAGAUGACAAACCCAGUGCAGCAGUGAGAGGAUACCACAGCAGUAAGACGGCCAUGAGCCCAGCAGGCUUCAGCUCCCAGUGGACCAGCGGUGUUCAGGAGACCUGGAGUGGCCACACCGUCUCCUACCCCCGUGCCAGCCUGCACUACCCGGCCCACCACCACCCCACGCAUGCCAGCUACGGCUACUGCCUGGGACAGCCUGCAGUGAGUACUCUCGAACACAUACUGUACAGCUAUGCUCACUGCAUUCUCCAUUGCACUCCCUUUGCUCUCUCAUGCCUCCCCUUCUCUCUCUCUCCACCUCUCCACACUCUCUUCCACCUUCCCUGUCUCUCUCAAUCUCCUGGGGCCCUGAUUUAUUACUGUACAUUUUACACCAAAUAUCUGCAUGAGCCAUCUCUGAAAAGACUCUUCCUGAGUCUUAUCAAAUCAAAUCAAAUCAAAUUGUAUUGGUCACAUGGUUAGCAGAUGUUAAUGCGAGUGUAGCGAAAUGCUUGUGCUUCAAGUCGACAGUGCAGUAAUAUUUAACAAGUAAUCUAACAAAUUCACAUGACUACCUUAUACACACAAUGUAAGGGGAUGGAAUAAGAAUAUGUACACUACCGUUCAAAAGUUUGGUGUCACUUAGGAAUGUCCUUGUUUUUGACCAUUAAAAUAACAUCAAAUUUAUCAGAAAUACAGUGUAGACGUUGACUAUUAUAGCUGUAAAUCUGCUGUUCCUGUACAGGGAUCAACAUCAGGGGAAAUUUCAGAGUGGCAACUAAAAAUACAAUUUCGUAACAUUAAACAUUCUUGAAAAUGCAAGUGUCUUACACCCUUCAAAAGAUUAGAAUCUUGGUAAUCAAACUACAUUUUCCAAUUUAAAAUAGCUAUUACAGAGAACAAAUCCCAUGCUUUUGUUUGAGAAGAGCAAUCAAGAACAGAAACAUUUUCCGCCAUGACAGUUUUUACACAUUUACAUCUGAAGGUAAAAUUAUGACUUACAUUCUGAUAUCUUGCUCUUAUUUCUCUUCCUGAGUAUCCCAUUGAUCAAAUGAAGUGCCG